ACGAACGCUGGCGGCGUGCUUAACGCAUGCAAGUCGAACGGAAAGACCCUGCUUUUGUGGGGUGCUCGAGUGGCGAACGGGUGAGUAACACGUGAGUAACCUGCCCUUGACUUUGGGAUAACUUCAGGAAACUGGGGCUAAUACCGGAUAGGAGCUCCUGCUGCAUGGUGGGGGUUGGAAAGUUUCGGCGGUUGGGGAUGGACUCGCGGCUUAUCAGCUUGUUGGUGGGGUAGUGGCUUACCAAGGCUUUGACGGGUAGCCGGCCUGAGAGGGUGACCGGCCACAUUGGGACUGAGAUACGGCCCAGACUCCUACGGGAGGCAGCAGUGGGGAAUAUUGCACAAUGGGCGGAAGCCUGAUGCAGCAACGCCGCGUGCGGGAUGACGGCCUUCGGGUUGUAAACCGCUUUCGCCUGUGACGAAGCGUGAGUGACGGUAAUGGGUAAAGAAGCACCGGCUAACUACGUG
rnacentral:rRNA from 1 species